ACCAUUCUGCAUCACUUGUGGCUGCAAAACAUAUGGCUGGAAGCUGGGAAGAUAUGCAGACUCUUGAAAUUGGGAAGAGCCUGCAAUUGGAGAUUGAAUGGACAUUUGAACUGAUUCAGAUGCUAUUCCUUGAGACCAUGCGUUUGGCCUAGACAUGCCAAAUUUAAACUGAAAAUCUAGUUGCUGAAAUGAGGAAGUUGCCACUGAGACCCCACGAACAGCAAGAGAAAUGCUCGUGUACCACUGAUAGCUGGAGCAACAGAAGCCACCUGAACAGGCAUGUCUCUUUUAGCUUCGGGUUGAAGAUGAGGAAUUUCAUUCUUGAAACGUUCAAAAAAGAACUAUUAUCAUCUAAAGAAUUUAAAAAGGCAAGGAUUUAAUUUGACUACAUAACCCCAAAAGGAAUACAAAAUCGAGUACUAUUAAUAUAAUCAAACCAGCUUGCAGUUUUGCUUUCUAGAUCCCUCGAAACUUGGUUAUUGAAAACCCUUCAGAAACAUAUAUAUCUUGCAAUUUGGACGAUGUGUCAAGCUACAAAAAUAUAACCAUUCUCCAGUUGUGCUUCCUAACAGAGAAAGUAGAGGUCCAAGCAAGAAAGGAGCAAUAAUUGUGUUGUAUCUACAGGAAUUUCACUCUAGUUAGAUUAUGGACAAUUCAAUUCUGUCAAAGAAUUUAUCUAACUGCCCAAGAGGCCACCAUCCAAAGGUAGACAUGUUCCAAAGUACUUUCUCAUUCUACUUAUGCCAAGUGAAGAGUGACAAUUGGAAUGCAAAACUCAAGCAUGCAUAACAAUUGGAAUGCAAAAAAUUAGAAUUCUGUAUACAUUAAUCGAGAUUCUUGAGCUGUAUUUGAGCUCAAGUGAAAAAAAUAAUCAAAGACAAAUUCAAAUACAAGUUAGCUGAUGCAUAGCUCGCUUAGCUUCAUCUACUAUAUAAAACAGACGUAUGGCAUAAUUAGACUCAUUUAAUUUACACCCUAGAAUUCAUGCAUUUACCAUUAUAUAUAUAUGAAGCAUUGAAUUUUUCAUAUUACUACUUCCCAUUCAACUAUUAAAAUAGAGCAGAACUAAACCCUCUAAGCAAGGCAUGCCCCUAUUACUAAAGAAAGCAGGAUUGUUUUCAAAAUUUUCCAUUUUUAACCCUAUUUUACCUUGUACAUCAUAGUAAAAAAUGAAAAAGCACGUAUGCAUGCAUGCAUGCAGAACGUUGCAUAAUUAAUAAAAUAUUACCACGUUGUUGAAGCAAUUGGUGAGGAUGGCAAGGAGGAGGUGGGAGGCCCGCACUGUCACCGCCACCACGGAUCCGCAACCCUGAGAAGAAGAGAUCCACCGGCGAAUGUGAGUCGGCAGCCAAGUUGGGAUGACCACGUCCACUAGAUCUCCUAGGGGGUUGUUAUGUACUCAUUUGAGAUUGAAUCUCUUCAACCUUCCUAUACUGCCUUUGGGACAUAAGCCCUGUUAUUUCAUUUAAUCCUUCCUCAAAUAUUCCAAACUUUAGAGGAAAAUAGUUGAAAGAAAAGUGUAAAUUGCACUAUAAUAUACCUUGGAAUUAUGGGAUCAUUGGUGUUAGAAUGUGCUCCAAGAGUGAGAGGGAAAAAAAAAAAAAAAGAAAAAGCAUGAGUAGAGAGCAGGAAGAUAGGGGUGAAACUUGAAAGUAGGUAAAAAAAAAAAAAAAAAAGAGGAAAGGUUAAUUACAAUUUGCACCCUUGAACUAUCAUAAAUUUGCACUUAGCACUCUUAAGCUAUCAAUUUUAACAAU
rnacentral:lncRNA from 1 species